GAUGAACGCUGGCGGCGUGCCUAAUACAUGCAAGUCGAGCGAACGGACGAGAAGCUUGCUUCUCUGAUGUUAGCGGCGGACGGGUGAGUAACACGUGGAUAACCUACCUAUAAGACUGGGAUAACUUCGGGAAACCGGAGCUAAUACCGGAUAAUAUUUUGAACCGCAUGGUUCAAAAGUGAAAGACGGUCUUGCUGUCACUUAUAGAUGAUCCGCGCUGCAUUAGCUAGUUGGUAAGGUAACGGCUUACCAAGGCAACGAUGCAUAGCCGACCUGAGAGGGUGAUCGGCCACACUGGAACUGAGACACGGUCCAGACUCCUACGGGAGGCAGCAGUAGGGAAUCUUCCGCAAUGGGCGAAAGCCUGACGGAGCAACGCCGCGUGAGUGAUGAAGGUCUUCGGAUCGUAAAACUCUGUUAUUAGGGAAGAACAUAUGUGUAAGUAACUGUGCACAUCUUGACGGUACCUAAUCAGAAAGCCACGGCUAACUACGUG
rnacentral:rRNA from 1 species